CUCACAAGUGUGCCCCAGGAAAGAGCCAGUGGUGGGACGUCUGCCACACAGAUGCCAGUCAGGAACACCAGCCAGGAGAAGACCACAGCUACAGCACUGAACAAGCACCUUGGCAUCUCGUUUUCCAGAAUGAGGAUCUGUGAUUCCAAGCUAGGUGGUUCGUGUAUGCAUCAGAAGUCCUGGCUGAUAGCCUGAUGGAGUAAAUCAAACAAUGGCCUGGAAGGAAUCCAAGAUGGAAAAUGAUGGAAGAAAUUGAUUAUUCCUGUUUAAAAUUCCAGCUAUUAGGAUUGAAUUUGCAUUUGGCUUAUUCCUUGGAAGCAUAUGAUGAAAACACCUGCAACCCCCAUGGAGUGGUGUUAUUUUCCUAGUCUGCAAACUCGA